GGACGAACGCUGGCGGCGUGCUUAACACAUGCAAGUCGAGCGGAAAGGCCCUUCGGGGUACUCGAGCGGCGAACGGGUGAGUAACACGUGAGCAACCUGCCCCUGACUUCGGGAUAAGCCUGGGAAACCGGGUCUAAUACCGGAUACGACCACUACUCGCAUGGGUGGUGGUGGAAAGUUUUUCGGUCGGGGAUGGGCUCGCGGCCUAUCAGCUUGUUGGUGGGGUGAUGGCCUACCAAGGCGACGACGGGUAGCCGGCCUGAGAGGGCGACCGGCCACACUGGGACUGAGACACGGCCCAGACUCCUACGGGAGGCAGCAGUGGGGAAUAUUGCGCAAUGGGCGGAAGCCUGACGCAGCGACGCCGCGUGAGGGAUGAAGGCCUUCGGGUUGUAAACCUCUUUCAGCACCGACGAAUCCAGACGGUAGGUGCAGAAGAAGCGCCGGCUAACUACGU
rnacentral:rRNA from 1 species